rnacentral:rRNA from 1 species
UACGUAGGGGGCUAGCGUUGUCCGGAAUCAUUGGGCGUAAAGCGCGCGUAGGCGGCCCGGUAAGUCCGCUGUGAAAGUCAAAGGCUCAACCUUUGAAUGUCAGCGGAUACUGCCGGGCUAGAGUCCGGAAGAGGCGAGUGGAACUCCUGGUGUAGCGGUGGAAUGCGCAGAUAUCAGGAAGAACACCAACGGCGAAGGCAGCUCUCUGGGCCGUAACUGACGCUGAGGAGCGAAAGCGUGGGGAGCGAACAGG